GAUGAAGAACGCAGCGAAAUGCGAUAAGUAAUGUGAAUUGCAGAACUCAGUGAAUCAUCGAAUCUUUGAACGCACAUUGCGCCCCUUGGUAUUCCGAGGGGCAUGCCUGUUCGAGCGUCAUUUCAACCCCUCAAGCUUCGGCUUGGUGUUGGGCCGCGCCGCUGCACCAGCAGCUGGCGGGCCUCAAAAUCAGUGGCGGUGCCGUCUCGGCUCUAAGCGUAGUAACAUCUCUCGCUCUGGAGACCUGGCGGUGGCUUGCCAGACAACCCCCAACUUUCUUUAAGGUUUGACCUCGGAUCAGGUAGGGAUACCCGCUGAACUUAAGCAUAUCAAUAGCGGAGGA
rnacentral:misc_RNA from 1 species